rnacentral:rRNA from 1 species
GAUGAACGCUGGCGGCGUGCCUAAUACAUGCAAGUCGAGCGAACGGACGAGAAGCUUGCUUCUCUGAUGUUAGCGGCGGACGGGUGAGUAACACGUGGAUAACCUACCUAUAAGACUGGGAUAACUUCGGGAAACCGGAGCUAAUACCGGAUAAUAUUUUGAACCGCAUGGUUCAAAAGUGAAAGACGGUCUUGCUGUCACUUAUAGAUGGAUCCGCGCUGCAUUAGCUAGUUGGUAAGGUAACGGCUUACCACGGCAACGAUGCAUAGCCGACCUGAGAGGGUGAUAGGCCACACGGGAACUGAGACACGGUCCAGACUCCUACGGGAGGCAGCAGUAGGGAAUCUUCCGCAAUGGGCGAAAGCCUGACGGAGCAACGCCGCGUGAGUGAUGAAGGUCUUCGGAUCGUAAAACUCUGUUAUUAGGGAAGAACAUAUGUGUAAGGAACUGUGCACAUCUUGACGGUACCUAAUCAGAAAGCCACGGCUAACUACGUG